GACGGGGCCCGCACAAGCGGUGGAUGAUGUGGAUUAAUUCGAUGCAACGCGAAGAACCUUACUACCCUUGACAUGUCCGGAACUUGCCAGAGAUGGCUUGGUGCCCGAAAGGGAAUCGGAACACAGGUGCUGCAUGGCUGUCGUCAGCUCGUGUCGUGAGAUGUUGGGUUAAGUCCCGCAACGAGCGCAACCCUUAUCAUUAGUUGCUACGCAAGGGCACUCUAAUGAGACUGCCGGUGACAAACCGGAGGAAGGUGGGGAUGACGUCAAGUCCUCAUGGCCCUUAUGGGUAGGGCUUCACACGUCAUACAAUGGUCGGUACAGAGGGUUGCCAAGCCGCGAGGCGGAGCCAAUCCCACAAAGCCGAUCGUAGUCCGGAUUGUUCUCUGCAACUCGAGAGCAUGAAGUCGGAAUCGCUAGUAAUCGCAGGUCAGCAUACUGCGGUGAAUACGUUCCCGGGUCUU
rnacentral:rRNA from 1 species